rnacentral:rRNA from 1 species
UACGAAGGGUGCUAGCGUUGUUCGGAAUUAUUGGGCGUAAAGCGUGCGUAGGCGGUCUAGUAAGUCGAUUGUGAAAGCCCAGAGCUUAACUUUGGAAUUGCAAUCGAAACUACUAAACUAGAGUAUGGCGGGGGAUAGUGGAAUUCUUAGUGUAGGGGUGAAAUCCGUAGAUAUUAAGAGGAACACCAGUGGCGAAGGCGACUAUCUACACCAUUACUGACGCUGAGGUACGAAAGCGUGGGGAGCAAACAGG